UUAUUAAGAGAAAAAGGGGUGAAAAGAACAAAGUUUUGUCCAUCUUUGUUCAUCAUAGCCUAAAGUUAGAGAAGAGAAAGGAGAGGAGAAAGCUCUUGAAUGCUCGGUCACUUAGGGAAGAAAAUUGAAGGAAAUCCCCAACCAUAGUGGGCUUGGAGCUGUGAGGGAAUUCGGAGUGGCCACCCGUUUUGAAAGUUUGAUUUUCUUUUGGAGAACUAGACAUCCUUUUAUUUACGUUUGAAGUUUUGGGUUUUUAAAUGUAAUAAGGCCGCUUAAUUAUUUUUGAUGGUUUUAAUAUGUAUUACUAAGAUAGGUAUUACUUAUUUUAACUGUUGAAAUUGGAUAGCUUUAGGACGCGUUUUCAAAAACAACAA